GUCAGGCAUUAUCCUGGAGAAAAUAGCCAAAGGCAUGGCGUCCUGAGCCAUCAGACGUGAUCCAGAGCAUGGCCUUGGUCACGCCUUUGCUGGGCGGGGCCGGGCCAUCGCCGAAAAACAGAAUGGCCCGAGUGCACAGGAAUGGACCUUCGGUCCUGCACAAGUUCCUCCUCUCCUGCUGCUGACCACGCCUCGCUUCCUCCCUCCUCUCCCUCAGGACCUCUGCACCCCCCCUCUACUCACCACACCACAACUCAAAGUGUGGUCCUUGCAUGGUCACUUGGAUGGUAAGGCAUGCGCGGCCUUGCACUUCUGAAGGAACCACGAGGUUCCUGCUCUCAGGACAGGUCAUGCCACGGCCAUGUUUUCCACUGCUAGUACCUGCUUCCCUGAUCAUCAGCACCUUCGCCACAGCCCUCCUCAGUUCUCUGUCCCUGGCAGCCUCCCUGAAGCCACGGCCUCCGGUACUUCCCCUGCCACGCCCCCAGCAGCCUUGGGGCACUUUUGUGCAGU
rnacentral:lncRNA from 1 species